GUCUUCUUUGCUAAGAGUUUGUUGCAGUUUAUUUUUUUAAUCUAGAAUUCCAGCAAUGAGAAACUUCCUGUGAUUCCUUUGGAGCCAGCAGUUUUUUCUGCUCUCUGUUUGCUCCAUCUCCUGCUCUCCUUGGGACUUCAUUUUUGCAGAGUAGAAGUGGUUAUAGCUUCUGAUAGCUGACAGGAUGACAGCACCAUUCCACAAUGUUGGCUUAAAGCAUCCAUCUAAUUCUGUUUACUUUCUGGAUGGACUGAAGCUUUUGCCUCAGGACUGCUAGAUUAAUGAGUCUGGCCCUUCUUAAUUUAGAAGAAUGACUUCAGGUUUACGGAAGCUCAUUGACUCUUCUUUUGUCAUUUGAAGAAAUUUCCUUUCCCUUCAGUGAAUCAGAAACUAUUUCACCUCCUCUCUAUCUCUCUAGGAGUUCUCUCUCAUCUGAUAUUCACUAAGCCUCAUUGAGUCCUACAUUUCUGCACUAAUGUAGGCAAGUCAGUUAUGCAACUACUGUUUUAUUAACACAGCUCUAAAAAUCUAUUUGUUGAUCUUAAAGCACGUGACACAUUAAUGUUCUUGGAAACAUAUCUUUAAUUGAUCGUUAUAGAUAAUAAACCUUCCAAUGAUUCAUGAGCAGAAAUUUAAUAAUAUGCCUAGAUGAGAUUUGUCCGUCACAGGAAAUCAGUUUGUUAUGUUAUGUAAUUCAGCAAUUAUUUUAUUUCCAUCUUCAAGGUUUCACUUUUUUUUUUUCUCUUUGUGGAAGACUGCCUUUCCCUCUUCUGCUAGGGGAGAAAAUCAUUCAGGUUGUUUGUAAAUUUGAAUUUUUUGUCAUCACUGACAAAAUUCUUACAACUAAAUUCUUUGUUGUUUUUAAAUACACUGUGAAUUGAAGGGGAAGCAAUGAAACGUUUACGUGUAGUGUGGAACUGCACUGAGAGUGGACAGUCAGGAUGAAAUCUUUCAUAAUCCCAGUGAUGGGCAGAAGCUAUUUUAUUGCUUGGUAUCAUGUUUUUAUAUAUUGAUGUUUUCUCUCCAGAGCUUUGAGAAUCAGCUUAGUUCUUUGAAAAUAAUUGCAUUGUAAGAUUGUGCCUUUGGGGAGCCUGGGUCAGUUAGUAAUUUCAGGGAAAAUUGAAGUUACCAAAUAACAAUCUAAUAGGUUGAGUUAGGUCUUUAAUAGUCAGGGGGCAUUGCUUCAUCUACUCAACGUGAUUUUAUGUGUAUGUAGUUGCCUGGACCACCAAACAAGAGGGUGACAAGUUGAACGCUCCGUCCUAUACUUAAUGCACCCUUUCAAAUACAGCUGGCAUUAAAAAUAAAAUUAAAAAAAUGAAAAAAAAAAAACAAUUAGCAAGUCUAAAAGGCUUUCCUGAACUCUGCCUCACUUGUGGGUUUUAAGAUUUGACACAAAUGCUGGCGAUAAGUAAACGUAUAUCAAUGGUCAAAGAAUACAUCUGAGUUGGUGGCUGAUGCAGUGAUGGUGAUCUUCUGAACCCCAGUGAGAGAGAGUAUCUGACGCUCUCUGUUCUUCAGUUUUGGGUCCAGUAACGUAGUAUCUUAGCUGAAAGCUCGGUUCCCAGUUGGAAGUACUUAGAAACCUUGCUCUCAUUACCUCUGCCGUUAGCCACUGUUGAGUUGUUGUCGUUCUCCUCAGUUAUCCACUUGCAAAAUAAAUAUGUGGUUCGUGAGGUUGUCAAAGAACAAAAAGCUCUUUACUGUUUCUGAGAAAAGAUCCAUAUAGUGAAUUAUCCCCAGGGAUCUCUGAUGUCAUGCUUGUUUGUGUUAUAUAAGAGUUAGAAGCCUAGUGCUUUUUCGGGAUUUAUGGUGCCUUAUAAGUUCAGAUAUGUACAGCAUGUGUGAUAAAUUUUAGCCUAAGAUGAUUUUCCUUUUUGGUCUGUGAGAUGAUCCCCUUGGUUAGCUCUAAAUGGAACCAAACAUAGCGAAUAAGUAAACAUAUUCCUCUAACAAAGAUCCCAGAGUUGUUGCUUUAGGAGCUGCUAUUAUAUUGGAGGAAUAAGGGGGGAUGCCACGAGCACCAGGAAGUGACUUUCUGAAUUGCUCACUGUGAUGUCUAUAUGAACAGUGUAAUCAUCCGUAGAAGAAUGUUAUUUCCUGAGUUUAUAGUUUUUCUUUCUAUGUGUGUGGCAAGAAGGCUCCAGCAAACAUGAACACGGUUUUAGAAAGAGGGCUGCACGCCCUGUUCGCUUUGCUUCUUUGGGGUGGAGUAUAUCAGAGCUAUCUGUACCAAAAAAUAGUAUGGUAAUCCAGCAGCAGUAGUAAAGUAUUU
ensembl:lncRNA